CGAAAAGACGGUGCGGUGGGUCGGCAGUACGUAUCGGUGGCCAUGAACAACGGGACCUUUCCUGAGGAUGUGUAUGUCGAGGAGGAAGACGUCAUGCUGACAGAGAGCCAGAUGGCAGGACUCCUGUUCACUAAUGGUAUCCUGAACAGGAAGGCCAGCUCCAAUCUGGCUAGUUACUGGCCUGACAGUGGAGGCUUCCCUUAUAUUCCUUUCACCUUCUUAGAUGGCUUCGUGGAUCGCACCAAUGUCUGGAAGGCGAUUCAGGUGUGGGAGAGAGCCACCUGCCUCAACUUCGAAGAGGUUCCUCCAUCGUACACCGGACCUCAUUUGCAGUUCCAGAUAAAUGACGUCAACUGUAGUUCCUACGUGGGGGUGACCAGCUCCUCCGGGCAGCCCAUAUAUAUCACGAAAGUGUGCCAG